CGGCGAGGGGAGUGAAAAAGAACCUGAAACCGUGUACGUACAAGCAGUAGGAGCCUCUUUAUGGGGUGACUGCGUACCUUUUGUAUAAUGGGUCAGCGACUUAUAUUCUGUAGCAAGGUUAACCGCAUAGGGGAGCCGUAGGGAAACCGAGUCUUAACUGGGCGAAUGAGUUGCAGGGUAUAGACCCGAAACCCGGUGAUCUAUCCAUGGGCAGGUUGAAGGUUGGGUAACACUAACUGGAGGACCGAACCGACUAAUGUUGAAAAAUUAGCGGAUGACUUGUGGAUGGGGGUGAAAGGCCAAUCAAACCGGGAGAUAGCUGGUUCUCCCCGAAAGCUAUUUAGGUAGCGCCUCGUGAACUCAUCUUCGGGGGUAGAGCACUGUUUCGACUAGGGGGUCAUCCCGACUUACCAACUCGAUGCAAACUGCGAAUACCGAAGAAUGUUAUCACGGGAGACACACGGCGGGUGCUAACGUCCGUCGUGAAGAGGGAAACAACCCAGACCGCCAGCUAAGGUCCCAAAGUCAUGGUUAAGUGGGAAACGAAGUGGGAAGGCUCAGACAGCCAGGAUGUUGGCUUAGAAGCAGCCAUCAUUUAAAGAAAGCGUAAUAGCUCACUGGUCGAGUCGGCCCGCGCGGAAGAUGUAACGGGGCUAAACCAUGCACCGAAGCUGCGGCAGCGACACAAAGUGUUGUUGGGUAGGGGAGCGUUCUGUAAGCCUGCGAAGGUGUACUGUGAGGUAUGCUGGAGGUAUCAGAAGUGCGAAUGCUGACAUAAGUAACGAUAAUGCGGGUGAAAAACCCGCACGCCGGAAGACCAAGGGUUCCUGUCCAACGUUAAUCGGGGCAGGGUGAGUCGACCCCUAAGGCGAGGCUGAAAAGCGUAGUCGAUGGGAAACGGGUUAAUAUUCCCGUACUGGUGGUAACUGCGAUGGGGGAACGGAGAAGGCUAGGUUGUCCGGGCGACGGUCGUCCCGGUUCAAGCAGGUAGGCAGAGUGAUUAGGCAAAUCCGGUCACUUAAUGCUGAGAUGUGAUGACGAACCACCAAGGUGGUGAAGCAAUUGAUGCCCCGCUUCCAGGAAAAGCCUCUAAGCUUCAGGUUACCAACAAUCGUACCCCAAACCGACACAGGUGGUCAGGUAGAGAAUACUCAGGCGCUUGAGAGAACUCGGGUGAAGGAACUAGGCAAAAUGGUGCCGUAACUUCGGGAGAAGGCACGCUGGCGGUAGGUAAAGUCCCUCGCGGACAGAGCUGAAGCCAGUCGAAGAUACCAGCUGGCUGCAACUGUUUAUUAAAAACACAGCACUGUGCAAACACGAAAGUGGACGUAUACGGUGUGACGCCUGCCCGGUGCUGGAAGGUUAAUUGAUGGGGUUAGCGCAAGCGAAGCUCCUGAUCGAAGCCCCAGUAAACGGCGGCCGUAACUAUAACGGUCCUAAGGUAGCGAAAUUCCUUGUCGGGUAAGUUCCGACCUGCACGAAUGGCGUAAUGAUGGCCAGGCUGUCUCCACCCGAGACUCAGUGAAAUUGAACUCGCUGUGAAGAUGCAGUGUACCCGCGGCAAGACGGAAAGACCCCGUGAACCUUUACUAUAGCUUGACACUGAACAUUGAGCCUUGAUGUGUAGGAUAGGUGGGAGGCUUUGAAGUGUGGACGCCAGUCUGCAUGGAGCCAACCUUGAAAUACCACCCUUUAACGUUUGAUGUUCUAACCUAGGCCCAUAAACUGGGUCGGGGACCGUGUCUGGUGGGUAGUUUGACUGGGGCGGUCUCCUCCUAAAGAGUAACGGAGGAGCACGAAGGUUGGCUAAGCAUGGUCGGACAUCAUGCGGUUAGUGCAAAGGCAUAAGCCAGCUUGACUGCGAGAGUGACGGCUCGAGCAGGUACGAAAGUAGGUCUUAGUGAUCCGGUGGUUCUGAAUGGAAGGGCCAUCGCUCAACGGAUAAAAGGUACUCCGGGGAUAACAGGCUGAUACCGCCCAAGAGUUCAUAUCGACGGCGGUGUUUGGCACCUCGAUGUCGGCUCAUCACAUCCUGGGGCUGAAGUAGGUCCCAAGGGUAUGGCUGUUCGCCAUUUAAAGUGGUACGCGAGCUGGGUUUAGAACGUCGUGAGACAGUUCGGUCCCUAUCUGCCGUGGGCGUUGGAAGAUUGAGAGGGGUUGCUCCUAGUACGAGAGGACCGGAGUGAACGCACCACUGGUGUUCGGGUUGUCAUGCCAAUGGCAUUGCCCGGUAGCUAAGUGCGGAAGAGAUAACCGCUGAAAGCAUCUAAGCGGGAAACUUGCCUCGAGAUGAGUCUUCCCUGUCGCUUUAAGCGACCUAAAGGAACGUUUAAGACUAAGACGUUGAUAGGCUGGGUGUGUAAGCGUAGCGAUACGUUGAGCUAACCAGUACUAAUGAACCGUGAGGCUUAACCU
rnacentral:rRNA from 2 species